ACGGAGGGUGCAAGCGUUAAUCGGAAUUACUGGGCGUAAAGCGCACGUAGGCUGUAGUGUAAGUCAGGGGUGAAAUCCCACGGCUCAACCGUGGAACUGCCUUUGAUACUGCACAACUUGAAUCCGGGAGAGGGUGGCGGAAUUCCAGGUGGAGGACGGAAAGGCGUGGUUAUCUGGCGGAACAGCAGUGGCGAGGGCAGCCACCUGGACCAGUAUUCACUCUAAUGUGCGAAAGCGUCGGGAUCAGCCAG
rnacentral:rRNA from 1 species